rnacentral:rRNA from 1 species
AUGCAAGUCGAGCGGUAGAGAGAAGCUUGCUUCUCUUGAGAGCGGCGGACGGGUGAGUAAUGCCUAGGAAUCUGCCUGGUAGUGGGGGAUAACGCUCGGAAACGGACGCUAAUACCGCAUACGUCCUACGGGAGAAAGCAGGGGACCUUCGGGCCUUGCGCUAUCAGAUGAGCCUAGGUCGGAUUAGCUAGUUGGUGAGGUAAUGGCUCACCAAGGCGACGAUCCGUAACUGGUCUGAGAGGAUGAUCAGUCACACUGGAACUGAGACACGGUCCAGACUCCUACGGGAGGCAGCAGUGGGGAAUAUUGGACAAUGGGCGAAAGCCUGAUCCAGCCAUGCCGCGUGUGUGAAGAAGGUCUUCGGAUUGUAAAGCACUUUAAGUUGGGAGGAAGGGCAGUAAAUUAAUACUUUGCUGUUUUGACGUUACCGACAGAAUAAGCACCGGCUAACUCUGUGCCAGCAGCCGCGGUAAUACAGAGGGUGCAAGCGUUAAUCGGAAUUACUGGGCGUAAAGCGCGCGUAGGUGGUUCGUUAAGUUGGAUGUGAAAUCCCCGGGCUCAACCUGGGAACUGCAUUCAAAACUGUCGAGCUAGAGUAUGGUAGAGGG